GGAGAGCCAGGCCUGGCAGUCGGGCGUUUCUCUCAGGAGCUCCACCAGCGCCUGGGCUUCCUUCACACUCGGGAUGGUCUCCAACGCCAGCAGGUCCGCUCCCGCCGCCGCCAAGCAUUCCAGCUGAGGCCGAUGCCAGGAUUUGAGCUCCUGGGAGGGAACAUUGGCAACGUAGAACGGCGUGGACUCAGAAUGGAGCCCUGGGGGACGCCGCAGAUUUGUUUUGUGGCUAAAUUCACAUUUUAGUCCGAGUAAAAGUCCUCAUGUGAUUUAUGCUGUAUUGCUUCUUUGUGUUUUAACAGAUCCAACUCUUUUAUGGCCCCCUGCUAAAUUCCACGGGCCCUACGGAGAGAGCUCUGCUUGGUACGUCCCGCUCAUCCCAGGAACAUAAAACAAGGCACCGGUGUACUCUGAGCCGUCAUGCAGAGAGGCGCCAUAGGGUCCCACUGAGACCGCCACCAGAGGACACGCCCGGCCUGCAGGCGGCCGGGGACGCGUAGGCGGCCACCGUCUGUUCGGCGAGGUGAAGGCCGGACACCAGCAGCUCCCUGGCGGCGUCCGAGCUCACCUUCAAAUGCCGGACGAAGCCCGGGAUGGUGGCCUGGUAGGUCGCCGUGGUGAUCACGUCGGCGCCGCUCAGGAGGAAGCUGCGAGCCAGGUGUCACGUCAGGCCUGGGAACGCCUCGGGAUCCCCCAGGAGGAGCUGGACGAAGUGGCUGGGGAGAGGGAAGUCUGGGCUUCCCUGCUUAGGCUGCUGCCCCCGCGACCCAAACUCGGAUUAGUUGAAAAAGAUGGAUUGAAAGGCUUUAACAUGUUUAUUAUCUUGGAGACUGACACAGGCAUCUAGAUUGCCACACACCAUCCUGACUCACGGUUUCAACAUUUGGUUCUUCUCAAAAGUGUAUAAUAUCUUUUUCAGUUUGUUUUUUUACCUGCAACUUCGCGCCUUGAGCCUCCAGUUGUGUUGCUAGUCCACCGUCCAAGAGGAGCGCGCCUUCAUUGUUUCUCAGACGAGCGCGUAAAGUCAUGACAAAUGAUCGGAAUAAAAGUAAAACAAGGCACUUAUUGCAUUCUUCUUGCAGCUGAGCGUAGAAAUAUCGCAUUUAAGGCUUGCAGCUUUUAUUUUGUAAAGUUCUUGUUCCGGGUUGCGAGGAAGGUUUAGCAGUUGCGUUCAAUGCUACUCGAAUUUUUCGCAGUUGUUAAAUUAUUAGGCCCUCUUUUAUGUAUACGCCGCUUCUAGAUUACGCGGGAGUUAGCAUACUAUCAUGUCGCUGUGCUCCAGAAUGCCAAAUUAUAUACAUAUAUAUUUAUUUGAUAUUUAUUCAAAGACAAGAUGGUGAAAAACUUAAAAGAACAAAGAAACACAAACACACCUAUUGCCUCCGUCCAUAUCUGUCUACGAUGACAUGUAAAAUGUAACUGUAAUGCCCCAAAAUGUCCAGCAGAGGGAGACUCCCGUCUGCCUGAAUGACUUGAUGGUAUGUAAUUUGACAUUUUUAUUCAACAUAUUGGCACAAUUACACUUUUUUUAACGUGUCUGACAUGUUAACUUGGUAAAGACAACCUAGAGCAUUGCUUUUUCGCUGCUUUGUGUAGGAUGGCAACAGAAAUGACUACAGAAGACAGCAACAUGUAAGACUUUCUUUCCAACCGGAAGUAAUUUAGCGGAAGUGACGUCAUCUAACUACUGUUUGCCGAUUAAAGCAGGGGUGUCCAAACUUCUUCUAAAGAGGGCCUUACACGGGAAAAUGUAUGCGGGGGCCAUUUUGAUAUUUCUCAUUUUCAAACCAUAACAAAAUAUAACAAUUUUUUUUGUAAUCGUUAGGGAGGGUCUCAGUCACUAAAAUGUUAAAAAUAGGUCAAAUUAUUAUUAUUUGUUUUAAUUUAAUGUUUACAGUAAAUCUCUAUAUCAAACAAAUAAGGUUUUAUGCCUUUUCGGUCAAAGAAUACUUUGUUUUUUAAAGUAAAACUGAAAUAUGCAGUAUUUAGAUAGAUAGAUAGAUAGAUAGAUAGAUAGUACUUUAUUGAUUCCUUCAGGAGUGUUCCUUUAUUUAGCAAUUAAAGCCCUCAAAGAUCAAUAAUGCAGGACACCAUUGAUUUUAAUUAUUUAAUAUUUUU